GAAUUUUAGAGUGGCCUCAACAUCACUCCGACAUAUAUCCGCAUACUCUGCUGUAUUGUCACCGGGCAAAAGCACAAAGCCGAUUCCCUAGGAUUUAAAUAUCUGGUUUGAAGCUGUGAAACGCCUUCCAAUCGGUUUUUGGAUGUAAAACGGUGACCUUAUGGUCUGCUCGUAUGCGGAGGUUGUGUUGUUUUGAUGUCGGCGCUCGACCCUCAUUUCCAACUCUGUGCAUCUUAUUAUGUCCGUGCCGCAGUUAACUCUGCCACGGACUCACCUUACAAACACUAGUCAAAGAAUGUAUAUAAAUUUAAAACAAAUAAAACUUUCAACAACGGAUCUCUUGGCUCU
rnacentral:misc_RNA from 1 species